UCUAUGGGGUCACACAGAGUCGGACACGACUGAAGCGACUUAGCAGCAGCAGCAGCAGCAUCCGUAAUCUUUCAGUAUAUUUCUGUUUUAAUCAUGCCUCUUCUAGACAUCAUAUUAUUGCAUAUAUUUUUUCUAUAUUCAAUCUGUCUUUAUCUUUUAUAUUUGAUAAGUUUUGUCUAUUUAUAAUGAUUAUAGUGACCGUAUGUUAGGAUUUGGUUUUGUGAUCUUAUGCUUUGCUUUUAUUGAACUUUUUUUUCUUUUUUGCUUCUUUUUAUUCUCUUUUCCUGCUUUCUCUUGGUCGUUUUGAGUUUUCUGCCAGUUUAAAAGGUUAAAGAUUAUAUUUUUGUUCUUACUGUGGCUAACCUCAAUUUAAAACCUAUAAUUAUGCAUAUUUACCAGUCGUAGUAAACUUGGUAAUAUCUUACUGUGUCUUACAAUUCAGGACGUUUUGCUCCUGGUUUUGGUCUCCCUCUUCCUUCAGCCCCCAUGGUGCUGAUACCUUAGUCUGGACUGCUGUGGACACAGUCUGUUCCCCACCUGGUUCCUAUCGUAGACCUUUCCUAGGCAUUUCGUCACCCUCAGCUCUGUGUCUCGUAUAGCAGUGCCCUGGAUUUGUCUCUUUUCGUGUCUGAAUCCUGCUUCCAAGAGCCUUUUUCAGUGGAUGGCAACGUUUUUGAGGCUUGUAUGAGUGAGAAUGUUUAUAUUCUCACAUCUGAAUGACAAUUCAGACUUUAAAAAGCUAACAUUCGAAGCCCUUUUCUUUUACUACUUUAAACCCAUUAAAGGACGUGUUACCUGGCAGCACGGUGGACAAGUACCCACCUGCCGAUGCAGGGCCACGGGGUUGACCCCUGGUCCGGGAAGAUUCCUCAUGCAUGGAGCAGCUGAGUCCACGCGCCACGGCUGCUGAGCCUGGUGCUGGAGCCUGAAACCGCCACUACUGAAGCCCAUGCAGCCUAGAGCCCGGGUGCGGAAACCAGAGGGGCCACUGCAGGGAGAAGGCAGUGUACACCGCGACUAGAGAGCCGCCCCAUUUUUCUCUGCAGCUAGAGAAAUCUGGAGCACGGCAGUGAAGACCCAGCACAGCUGAAAAUAGAUAAAAUUAUUAAAAAAAACCAAACCCAUUACACCAGUAUCCUCUUGUAGUGUUUUCCUGCCAAGCUGUCUCUUACUCCUUUGCAGGUAGAGUGAGGAUAAAAUUCAACCACGAAGCUUCUGCGAGUGGAGGGGCACUUCUAGGAAUGAAGCUUGGGCCGCAGAUGGAAACCAGAAGGGCCUCGCGUACAUGGAGACACCCUUCUCCGGGGGACCUUCCCAACUCAGGGAUCGAACCCAGGUCUCCCGCAUUGCAGGCAGAUUCUUUACUCGCUCAGCCACCAGGGAAGCCCAAAAUGGAGACACGGGCUCUACGUACUGGCUGGUUGUUUAAUCGCUUACACGUGCAUAAUUCUCUCUCUCUGGAAGCCUUUAGAGUCUUCUCCUCGCAUCUGAUGUUCGUGGGUUUUGUUUUAGCACUUCUUGUGUGGAUUUGCUGUCGUUCCCCCAUCUAUGAAUUCUUUCCGUGUGAUCCUGUCUUCCUCCCUCCCUCCCUGCCCCGCACCCUCCUCCUCUCUUUCCCUCCCUCCCUCCCUUCCCUCAGUCUGUGUCUCUGUGACUCCUGCUGUAACCUCUCUUCUGGGCUUUUUAUUGUAGUCAAACCUAGAGCUACUCAUCCUGCCUACAGGAGCUGUUUCAGUCCAAGUGAAAUGGAUUUAUUAUCGCAAAUGUUUUAAAAGGCAUUUUGCUUUAUUCCCCUAUCUCCAGCACAUUUUAACGUUCAAGUGCUUCUGCAGCCGUAGGCACUCUGGGCCUGGGGAGUCAGGAGCCCCACCCCUCGGCCUUCCUGAAAGGUAUUCGCCUUUAUGAUCAUUAAAGGUAUUUCCAGAUGCCUGUGGCGCUAACUGCUGUCUCUCCAGGAAUUGCGGACAUGAAGUCUCAGACGCCACGUUCCUCGUCUCAGGAUGGCUAGAGCCCCUGACCACAAACAGCAGAAUCUCCUUGGACCAGUCUAAGCAGAAAAGGGAUUUAGUAAAUGCUACAAGAUCCGUCAGAGAAUUGUGCAGAAUGGGAGUGUGUUUUAAGACUGUGCUUCCAGGACCAACACCUGGGCGGUGUGAUGGGCGUGGAAAGGAGAGGUUCGCCAGGAGCCCCCAAGGAGCCUACAAGCCAAUGGAGGAGGAAGACCAGCAAACCUCCGAGAACUGCCCCUAGGAGGACGGGAACAGACCCCAGAUAUUACGUCCAACCUAAGACAGCUCUGCCAGCCAGGAACAUGCUCACAUUUCCCCGCGUGCUCGCCUAAUUCUCCCAUCUGCAGGAAAAGGAAGCCUUUUAAAUUAAAUUUGCAGAGUUGUCUCUCAUAUGUUCAAGAAGUCUUCAGAUUAUUUUAAACACGCUGUAAGCCUGCCAGUUCCACAGAGAGAUGACCUCAUUGAUCAGGGGAGCUUUCAGAGCAUCCGUUUAGGAAAAGCAACUGCUAAGAUUCAAUGCCCGCUCAGGAGGCUUAGGUACCCAAACUGUGUUGAAAGACUUACUCUUUGCUCUAAGUAGCAACUUCUGAAAACUGUAAUAAACAACUGUGAGGUCAUGUAAUUCUUAAUUAGAAAGGCUUUCAGAAGAAAGGGGAAUGUGCUUGUGUUUAAAUGAAGCAAAACUGGAAAGACUGGAUGCAGGCACUGCAGACCGUCAUUAUCACCUACACCAUCGUGUUGCAUCUCCAGCGCUGCUUUCCAGACGCCGAGGACGGAUGUCGGCAGGCCCAGGGCUGGUGACAGGAGCCUGCUUUAACAGCUUCACCCGUGCUCUGCUCUCACUCUUGGCCAGAAGCAAAGACACUGCAGUGAAGUGCAGUGAAACUGACCGCCGCCCGCGCUGCCUUCCGUCCGUCUCGUGCUGGCCUUUACCUCCCUCUUGGCAGAACUUGUGCCAAGAGUGGCGCUGCAGUUACAGAUUCAGCAAAUACAGUCAGGGGAUCUUGGGGUUUUGUUUGUGUUUUUAAGUACCUAACUACAAUUAUUAUAAGGUUUGAGGUGGGUGAACUACUUAGCGGGUAUUUGCUUAUGCUAGAAAAUAUAUGUGCGGAUGCAAGCUCAGUCACUUCAGUUGUGUCUGACUCUUUGUGACCCCAUGGACUGUGGCCUGCCAGGCUCCUCUGUUCAUGGAAUUUCCCAGGCAAGAAUACUGGAGUGGGUUGCCAUUUUCUACUCCAGGGGAUCUUCCUGACCCAGGGAUUGAACCCGUGUCUCUUGUGUCUCCUGCAUUGCAGGUGGAUUCUUUACCCGAUGAGCCACCAGGGAAGCCCAGAAAAUAUACAGAGGAAGCAAAGCUUGCAUUUUGGCUUUUGAAUGAAGAGAGGAUUUCAGAUCCAAAAGAGAGAGAGAGAGAGCGAGCGAGCUUGCUUUUACACAUGUUGUUUUUGCUUAUCCUGCGGAAUCUUUCUAAUAAAAAAAUAUUUUAUUUGCUUGGC